UGAAAUGUUCAAGAGACCAUCAAUUUCUGUUUAUUAUUUGGUGCCAUUGCUGUUUUUCCAAUUCCUCUUUUUUAUUUCUGUUUGUUUACCUUCUAAAGUGCUGGGUUUAAUUUGUUCUUAGUUCCUUUCCUCAGGGAUGAAGUUUAUCAUAGCUUAUUUCGGGCACAUGAAGAAGAAGAAAUGAAGCACUUCUCUCUCACACACAAGCUUGCAGAGGUUGCAAGGACACAUGUUCAAGUGGAAUGCCUGUCUCAGAUUUGGAUCAGGUUAUGACAGACAAAGCCAGAGGUUGUCAUCAACUGGGGGCAGAAAUCAACUCAGAAAAAGCUGAGGGGAGGAAAGAGGCCCACCAUCUGUGUGCCUGUGAACUCUCCAAUCUGGAGUAAAGAUUAAACAGAGAUAACUGGAGAUUAA